CUUGGCUUUGCAGACAUGUGUCUCUGACAGCAGAAAAAGGGCAGGGUCCCUGCAUGCCAGGCCAGAAAGUGGGACCUGGCAAGGAAUCCUGAAUUUUCAGGUGAAAAAUCUGCUUUAGGCAAACUGGGAAUGAAUGCUGAUGUAGCUUGGAUUGCGGGAGGCAGAGACCCUGGAGGCCCUGCCCAGUGACAGCAAUUGCAGAUGAUGAUGUCUGAUAAUCAUAUAAUCAUACUGAUAACAACCAUCAUCUCCCUCACCCUUGUGGUGGCUCAAUAAUUUCACCCAUCACUUUGGUUUGUCUUGUGCUAAGUUUGUGCCUGACUGAGUCACAUGGGCAUCCAUGGACCAGUCUUGUGCUCUGGGAGUCAGGAGUGGGGUCAGGUUCACAGGGGACGUGGGGAGGAUGAUGCGUCCUAAAGCUCAAGAACAGGAGUGAAGGCUGGGUGGUCCAAGGAACCAUCACUGCCCAUUAACAGGGACAGUAUCAACCUGGAUCAGCCCGAAAGUUCUUGAAUGGA
rnacentral:lncRNA from 1 species